UAGGGAAUAUUGCACAAUGGAGGAAACUCUGAUGCAGCGACGCCGCGUGAGUGAUGAAGGACUUCGGUUCGUAAAGCUCUGUCGUAUGGGAAUAAGAAAGUGAAUGUACCAUGCAAGAAAGGAUCGGCUAACUUCGUGCCAGCAGCCGCGGUAAGACGAGGGAUCCUAGCGUUGUUCGGAAUCAUUGGGCGUAAAGCGGAUGUAGGUGGCUUUGUAAGUCGGGUGUGAAAGCCCAGGGCUCAACCCUGGAAGUGCAUUCGAUACUGCGAAGCUUGAAUGUCGGAGAGGUUAUUAGAAUACCUGGUGUAGUGGUGAAAUACGUAGAUAUCAGGUGGAAUACCGGAGGCGAAGGCGGAUAACCAGCCGAACAUUGACACUCAGAUCCGAAAGUGUGGGGAUC
rnacentral:rRNA from 1 species